UGUGUGUGUGUGUGUGUGUGUGUGUGUGUGUGUGUGUGUGUGUGUGUGUGUGUGUGUGUGUAUAGAGCUGUAUGACUACUGUAUUAAGGAGAGUUAUGCUGAUAAGAACCUGAUCGCUAAGUGGAAGAAACAGGGAUACGAGAACCUGUGCUGCCUUCGCUGCAUCCAGACACGAGACACCAACUUUGGAACCAACUGCAUCUGUCGAGUUCCCAAGAGCAAACUGGAGGUGGGGAGGAUUAUAGAGUGCACCCACUGUGGCUGCCGAGGCUGCUCGGGCUGAAUCGUCAGGAUCAUCGCCUGGCUGUUCUACUCUGGCUCGUCUAGUCAGGUCUGGAUCGCCUGGCUGUUCUACUCUGGCUCGUCUAGUCAGGUCUGGAUCGCCUGGCUGUUCUACUCUGGCUCGUCUAGUCAGGUCUGGAUCGCCUGGCUGUUCUACUCUGGCUCGUCUAGUCAGGUCUGGAUCGCCUGGCUGUUCUACUCUGGCUCGUCUAGUCCGGUCUGGAUCGCCUGGCUGUUUUGCUGUGGGGAUCGUCUAGCCUGGCCUGGCUGUUCUGGAUCGUCAGUUAUUUUCUACGGGACAUCAGGGCUCAUCUACUCCACCUGUGUGCUUCAUUACCCUGGAGCGUCUAAUCUCAAAUACACCCCUACUCUCUAGCCCCCUACUCUCUAGCCCCCUACUCUCUAGCCCCUUACUCUCUAGCCCCCUACUCUCUAGCCCCCUACUCUCUAGCCCCCUACUCUCUAGCCCCCUACUCUCUAGCCCCCUACUCUCUAGCCCACUACUCUCUAGCCCACUACUCUCUAGCCCACUACUCUCUAGCCCCUACUCUCUAGCCCCCUACUCUCUAGCCCACUACUCUCUAGCCCAAAACUCUCUACUCCCUAGUCUCUUGCCCCCUACUCUCUACCCCUACUCUCUACCCCCUACUCUCUACCCCCUACUCUCUACCCCCCUACUCCCAGUAUAGGGGUGUCUUUGUGAUUGGGCAAGGUUAUUGUUACCAUUCCAGCUGUUUAGUACACACGGUGGUCAUUAUUAAGUGCUAUUGUACCUCAUUUACAAUGAAGAGGGCUGUGGGACAGGGAAGGGUGGGAUGGGGGCCUUUUUCCUGCUGUUGAACAUGUCAUUGCUUUCAACCUGAUGUACCUUUUUUAUAAUUUCAAUUAAAACUCUCUUGUUUUAAAUAA